GGGAGUACGUUCGCAAGAAUGAAACUCAAAGGAAUUGACGGGGACCCGCACAAGCGGUGGAGCAUGUGGUNUAAUUCGAAGCAACGCGAAGAACCUUACCAAGUCUUGACAUCCCGAUGAAUAGUAGGGAAAUCUACUAGCCUUUCGAGGCAUCGGAGACAGGUGGUGCAUGGUUGUCGUCAGCUCGUGUCGUGAGAUGUUGGGUUAAGUCCCGCAACGAGCGCAACCCUUAUAUUUAGUAGCCAGCAGGUAAAGCUGGGAACUCUAGAUAGACUGCCAAGGAUAACUUGGAGGAAGGCAGGGACGACGUCAAAUCAUCAUGCCCCUUAUGAUUUGGGCUACACACGUGCUACAAUGGCGGAAACAAAGGGAAGCGAAGCCGUGAGGCGAAGCAAAACUCAGAAAUACCGUCUCAGUUCGGAUUGUAGGCUGCAACUCGCCUACAUGAAGCUGGAAUCGCUAGUAAUCGCAGAUCAGAACGCUGCGGUGAAUACGUUCCCGGGUCUUGUACACACCGCCCGUCACACCAUGGGAGUUGGAAAUGCCCGAAGUCAGUGACCCAACCUGAAAAGGAGGGAGCUGCCGAAGGUGGAGCCAGUAACUGGGGUGAAGUCGUAACAAGGUAGCC
rnacentral:rRNA from 1 species